AUUCAUUGCUUUCCUGUCAUUUUUGGUGUAGCUGUAAAGAGAGCAAUACGGAAAUGCAAGUUAAUAAAAACAAAUUACAAAAAAUAUCAGAGAAUUAGUAUGAGUUGGAAGUUGUGGUUGUGCUGGUAAACAAACAAGUUGUAAGCGCGAUAUACAUGUUUGAUGGCGAGAAGUUCGCAACAGACUUGUUGAAGCGCACAAAAUACCGAACAGUCUUUCGGAUACUCUCUUUUCAUUUAUUAUACUUUAUACGCGAUUCGCAUACAUCCACUCUCUUAAUAUUCAGGGCAAACGCUGAUGCCAGCAGUGUAUUGAAUGUUAGUUAACAUUUACUGCUUGAAGUUUAUUACAAAAAUAAAUAUGUACUCUUUUCAUAACCGUAGUCAACAUUUCUAAAAGCUAAAAAUAACUUUGCUGCAUUAAAUAUAAUAUGUGAAACUUUCUCAUAUUCCAGCAACUUAAAAGUUCAAGGACGUAGCUGUUACGCAAUACAAGGUCAAGUUCGUGGUCUCCAAAGUUUCCUUUUCGGUGUUACAAACUUCGUAACACACUUAAUAUACUCUGUUCAUUCAUCGACUCGCUGCCAUAAACCAGCUAAAAAAUAGAAAUACAACUAAGUCCAAACUCAUCCUUUGCUAAAAAACUGGCCACGAUAUCAGACCUUCCUCAACAAUUGAAUUUCUUACAAUAAAAGAAAAUAAAUCGAGCAAAACAGAAUGCUCAUAAAAGUUGCAAAAGGAAACGACGGUGCAAUUCAUAGCAAUAAAAACAAAACAGCAGAUCAAAACAGAAAUAGAGACGCCGCAUUUAAGUUUAACAAAAAAGAAUGAGGUAUAAAAACAAAAUACAGAUAAAGUAAAUGGACAAAAUGUAAAGCAACAAAAAACAAAAAUUAUUUUGUAAAUGCAAGCAGCGAUGGGUACACAAAACUAAAGUAAACCAGCGAAUAUAGUGGACAGAGGGCAAUGAGACACGAACUGGGAAACGAAGACAGAUAAUGAAUGGAGCACAAGGUAGAGUGGAGAGUAAGCUGGUUGCAGAAUUCUGCCGCUACAACAACAACAACAGUAAGCUGGUUAAGAGAGCAUACUAUGAAAAACAUAUUUAACCGGUAGGAUUUUAAUUGGUUUUGUUUAUUAAUUUUUUAUGAAGCGAUAAAUUUUUAAAGGGGUAAUUGUGUUUAUUUUUUGGUAGAUGGUGAAAUUUGAUUAUAUGACAAAUGGUGGAUGCUAAUUUUGUUGUUUUUUUUGAUAAUUUUUUAUUAGAUAAGAAAUAUAUAACGUUAGCAUAGGGAUAGCCGUUACGCGAUCACAAAUUUUUAAUGUUGGUAAGAACAUGAAGCAUAUUCAGCCCCUGCAGAGUGGUAGGAGGUUUGUCGAUAACAUACAAGACAGUUUAAUCCGAAAUUCAUUAUUUGAAAGAAUAACGAAGCAGACCUAUUCAGGAAAUUUAUGGAACCAACUUUAGUUUGUUGAGACAUUCAUAAACCAAAAUGUAAUAUUAAAAUGGCAGCAGUAUCUAGUACCGACUGAUGUGGUUUAGGCUAUAAAAUUAUCAGACAUGUAUCUUUAAUCUUGUAUAAAUUACCGUAAAACAACAAUUUUGACAAUUUUUUGUUUUAAUUUAAAUGAGAGCUUGACGAUUCAUAUUUAAGGUUAAGCAACAUGUAUAAAGAAGGUUCCAGACAAACUUUAUAGAAUUGAGUACGUUAUAGUUAUACAAAAUAUAUUACAGUCAGCGUCCAGUAAAACGAGCUUUCGAAAUAACGAAUAGACAGUUUUACGAACCAUCAAAAUUAUAUUAUUGAUGUUUCUAUAUUACGAACGCAAACAAAUUUAAUUUUUCGAUAUUGCGAACGCUGCCAUAUUUUUAUCUUAAACUUCGCAUUCUUUGCAAAAAACAAGGGUUUCGUUAAACCAACGAUAGUUUUAUUGUUGUACAACAUCUGUAGAAAAUAUAAAUUAAUUUUUUUUUUUCAUGUUUCCAUUUAUUUUGAAUUAAACGUAAUUCAGUCAGUUCAAAAUAUUACUUUUUUCGUGCGGUUGAUUCCAUUUCGUUUAGUUUAGAAAGUGCAAUAUCAAAUAGAAAGCGUUUACCCUUGGAAAAUAAACUAAAGAUUUUGAACGAUUCACCAAGCGGCUUUCAGUAAAGGCCAUAUCCGCGAAAUAUAGAGUUUCAAAAUUGUCAGUUUAUAGUAUAAAAAAAUUAAAUUUAAAAUCGAGGAACACUUUCAAUAAACCCAUCGCACGAAAGCAGUACGUACGUCAUUUAAACAAAGUGAAAUUCCUAGAAUGGAGCAGGCCCUCUACAAAUGGUUUAUGACUCUACGUCGAAACUAUAUACCUAUUAGUGGAGUCAUUUUAAAUACAAUGGCAUUAAAAAAAAAGCUUCAGAAUAUCUGAACUAAAUAGUGUGGAGCCAUUUAUAAACAAGCUAGAGAGCGUAAUAAAAAUAAUAAUUUUAUUUGAAAUUGUUUCCUGAAAAACAUACGUUGUGCCAGAAGAAGCAUCUGUGCUAGGAAGAAAGAACACCAAAGAAAGAUUUACAUGUUUAGCGUGCGCCAAUUUACCAAGAAAUUACCACUUUUAGUAACUGUAAAAUCUCAGAUAAGUUAAUUAAUGGAGUAAUAGAUUUAAAAAAUUUUAGAUUUUACGAAUUUGGUAGAAUUACACCUUCAGAUUUGUUAUAUUAGACGAGAUACCAUAUAUUUGAUGUAUGUCUUUUCUUCCGAAAACGAGAUACCAAAUUUCUAAAGCGAUAAAACAUACUUAUAUCAAAAGAACACUGAACACUGAGUCCACUUCCGAAUUAAAGUGGGGUUUUGAUAGAAGUCUUCCACGAAAUAUAAAGUUAUACAGAUAAAUGUAGCGGUAUUCACUGUGACCUUUGUCCUCCUGUAGAAACGUUUAAUCAUAAAAAGGCCGCAACAAGCACUUGAUAUUUUCACGUUUUGACAAAGCAUUAAAUUUAGAGCGGUAAGGUAACCACCAAGACGGCAAUUGUGGAGUUAUGACUUUUAUCCUUUUUUCUUUUCUGUAUUGUUUUUAGAUAUCCGAAAAAUUUUUUUUGUAAACAUUUUUUUGCAUGAGUAGCAGUUUUGAUACGAGUACAAAAAAAUCGAAGUCCGACUAAUUUUUCAGGUUUCACUUAAGAAGCAUAUAUCAAAAAUGUUGAAGUAAUAAAUCGAGUUUCUAUUGCUUUUCUAACAAUUCCUGGAACUACAUACAUAUGUAUGUAUGUUCAUACGUGUGUAUGUUAUUAGAUUUAUAUGUAAAAUUGUAUUUAGUACGUCCAUAUGUUUGAAAUUGAAGUCAGGUUGAAUGAACUUCGUUGGGUUAAUUUUAUUAUUAUUUAUUUUACACAAGAGCAUUUAAACUUCUGGUUAAAAUACAUUCAUACAUACUAUUGUGUAUGCAUAAGUAUAUGUACAUAUGUUCGUUAGCAUUUGUCGGCUCUUUUGGCCACUCAGCUCGCAUGCACACAUUAGAGUAAUGCUACACAGACACUUUCAAUGAACGGAAAUUGUAAUAAAUUGCAGAAAGCAGUUUCCAAAAGUAUCGGUUAUUUGAAUUGUUAAACUACACAUUCACAGGCAAUUAAUACAACUUUUAAUUAUCACUUUUAUAUUUGGUAUUUUGUUUAUAUUUCCAAAGUGCAGUCAAAUUUUCACACGACGCUGCAAACGCUUAGCUAUUUGCUUUUGCCAUUUCUCCCUUAUGAAGUAGGCAUGAAGCGAACGAGCGCAAAAUACACGCAACGAGAGCGCGACGAUUGUACUAAAAGCCGACAAGCGCCGAGAGCGCCAGAGAACAAUAACGGAAAUGAAGACACAGAGAAAUGGCAAACAGCGCUGCUACCAACACACCUGCGAUGACGGCGACGCAACAGCGCUGCCGACCGCGACAGCGCCGUGUGUAUCUAUGAGUUUAUCUGUAGAUACAUGCAUACAUGUGUGUGUGCGUGAUGCGUACGCACAUCUGCUUGCUUUAUAAUUUUCACAGCGUAACGCACUACGAUUUCAUUCAUUAUACACAAUUUUAAUUUCAGUAUACACUUUGGAUAAGUUUCGAUAAUAAUGCUGGUGUUCAGCGUGUUUUAUUGGUAAAUAAAUAGAAAUUACCAGAAAUAAUCACAGUUUCUUUUUAGUUUGACUGAGUGCAUUGCAUUUUUCUCACCGGCGUGUAUGCGUUUUUAGCAAACAGCGAAUGCAUAUUUUUGCCGAGCGUUGUUCACACACCCACUAGAACAUUUAGAAUGCGUCACUUAGGCGUCGCAGCUGGCUAUGCGAUAGUCAACGUCGUUUUGGCGGCUUGUUUUUCAGUUGCAGUUUCACAUUUUUAAUUAUAAUUGCACACACACAUAUGCAUACAUGCGCAUAUCCAUAAGUUCGCUUCUAGUAAUUUUGAGAUAUUUACACGUUUUAUUUCCGCAGAAACACACAAUGGUCAAUUCAUUCAUAAAUACAAAUUGAGUUGAGAUAGGUAACAGUUUCCAGCACACGGUUGAAAAUAUCAGUUAGCAGAAUUCGCAACUGAUUAUGGAAUAUGCUAGAAUUGAAAGCCAUAUUUUUAUAAAUAUCAUUAUGGAUACCACCAAUACUUUAAAUUUUUUAAAUUUCGUCCUCAAUUGUUAUAAUAAUUAGUAUAUGAUUUCUCUUUUUAAAUGUAAAAAGAAACGAAUGAAAUGAAAAGAAGAAAACGUCAAGACCCUAUAAAACAAAAUAUGAAAGCUUGGCCAGCUAAUUCGAUUUAGCCAUGUCCGUCCGUCCGUCGAUCUGUAUAAACGCGAAUUAGUUCUUAAGUUUUUCUUUUUCUUCCCAAGAAAUUGCUAAUUUUUCGAAAUUGCCGAUAUGGAAAACUUGUUCUAACUUAUAUAUAAUAUACCUUUACUUUUAUUUCUGGUUUAAUUUGACCGGACUAUUAUUAUUUAGGUAUAUAAUUUUGAUGUAGAAGGACUUGUUUAAAGGGAUAUUGAUAGUUUUGUGCAAAUCUAAUCAAUUUUAUAGAUGUCUGCGUAAAAUAUCAGACUAAAUUUAAUAUAAAUAUUGUUAAUGUAAAUUUCCGACAUUUUUGAACGUCGAGUUAAAUAAUAAUCCUCAACUAAUAUACAUAUUAAAUAUAUUUACGAGAACUUUAGGGGUGCUGUGGUUUUUUUUUUGCUGGGGUUUUGUUAAAUUAAUACAGGUUUUAAUUUGUUCUAAUCUAGGUCGGUCCGAAAAACCAGAAUACUUGAUAGAUGCAAUUAUUCGAAAUUAAUUCGAUUAUUUUCUCUAAUUUUUUAAUAAAGAUCUGCCAUUGCCGCAGAAUGCAUCGAAAUCGCUAAACUGUAUAUCAACCAAAAAAAAAUAUAGCGUAAAUAAAGGACGUGUUCUAGUCCUUAUUUGUAUUAUUUAAAAUUUAUUUAAAUUUUUUCAUAUAUUGUUUUUUGUUUUUUUUUGGCAUUUGGCAUUUAAGUUAUUUUUCAAUAUUUUUCUAUUUGUUUAUUUUUACUUCACUAUUAUUUAAAAAGAAAAAAAAUUCAUUGACAUAUUUCAACUUCAUUUAAAACUGUUUAACUCAGUUCUAUUUACUUGCUUAUUUUCUUUUGUGCUUUUUCAUUGCAUAUGUUUCGAUUCCAACAUUUCCUAUUUCAGUUCCAGUCGUUCCGUUUCUUUAUACACCAAUUUGAUUCCUUUCAUGUCAUUUUAGCAGAAUUUUACUAAAUUUCACUUUUUUAGUUCAACUUUACUUCAUUUAAUUCCAUUUCACGAUAUUCCCUUAAAUGUGCUGUCAUUACAUAUCGUUUUCAAUAAUUCCACGCGUUUUAAUUGCUUUGCAUUUCACUUCAAACUAAUUAUUUCAGUUGUUUGUCUGUUUAAAAUCUCUAAAAAUGUAUUAUUUGACAUUUUAAUGAAUAAAAAUAAUUUAUUUUACUUUAAUAUAAAUAAAAUGUUUAAAAUUUGGGCCACCCUGCCUUUGAGCAACUUUUGUUUUUCCAUAAGGCACACCAACAUAUUUAACUGUUUUACUUUUUUUUUUUUUUUUUGGUAUUUUU